UAGGGAAUCUUCGGCAAUGGACGAAAGUCUGACCGAGCAACGCCGCGUGAGUGAAGAAGGUUUUCGGAUCGUAAAACUCUGUUGUUAGAGAAGAACAAGGACGUUAGUAACUGAACGUCCCCUGACGGUAUCUAACCAGAAAGCCACGGCUAACUACGUGCCAGCAGCCGCGGUAAUACGUAGGUGGCAAGCGUUGUCCGGAUUUAUUGGGCGUAAAGCGAGUGCAGGCGGUUUCUUAAGUCUGAUGUGAAAGCCCCCGGCUCAACCGGGGAGGGUCAUUGGAAACUGGGAGACUUGAGUGCAGAAGAGGGGAGUGGAAUUCGAUGUGUAGCGGUGAAAUGCGUAGAUAUAUGGAGGAAAACCAGUGGCGAAGGCGGCUCUCUGGUCUGUAACUGACGCUGAGACUAGAAAGCGUGGGGAACAAACAGG
rnacentral:rRNA from 1 species